AAGUCUGAUGGAGCAACGCCGCGUGAGUGAUGAAGGUUUUCGGAUCGUAAAACUCUGUUGUAAGGGAAGAACCAGUACGUCAGGCAAUGGACGUACCUUGACGGUACCUUAUUAGAAAGCCACGGCUAACUACGUGCCAGCAGCCGCGGUAAUACGGAGGGUGCAAGCGUUACUCGGAAUCACUGGGCGUAAAGAGCACGUAGGCGGCCUUGCAAGUCAGAUGUGAAAUCCAACGGCUUAACCGUUGAACUGCAUUUGAAACUGCAAGGCUAGAGUAUGGGAGAGGUAGGUGGAAGUCUCGGUGUAGGGGUAAAAUCCGUAGAGAUCGAGAGGAAUACUCAUUGCGAAGGCGACCUGCUGGAACAUUACUGACGCUGAGGUGCGAAAGCGUGGGGAGCAAACA
rnacentral:rRNA from 1 species